GUACUUGCUUUGGCAGCACAUACACUAAAAUUGAAAUGAUACACAGAAAAUUAGCACAGCUCCUGCACAAGGAUGACAAACAAAUUCAUGAAGCAUUCCAUAUUUUU